rnacentral:tRNA from 1 species
UUUGCUGUAGCUCAGCUGGUAGAGCAUGAGACUCUUAAUCUCACUCAGGGUUGUAGGUUUGAGCCCCACAUUGAGCAAAA